GCCAUGGCAACCCAUGUGAAUGGUGUACAUGACAUGGUCUAGGAAAAGGACUCGGCAGUGCUCACACUUGAAGGCCCUAAUCUGUUCUCCUUCUCCAUUGAAGACCUUGUAGAUGUCUUUCAGAGAGCCCUUAGGAGCCUUGGUGGUAUCCAAAGCCUUGACAUCCUCCUUCAUAUCAAGCAUUUGGGCUCUUUAAUUCUGCUGAGACUCACAAAUACUCUCAACCUGCAAAGAGGAUUAGUAAUAAGAAUUUCACAAGCCAUUUGCACUUGUUUUAAUGCCAUCAUGAAAAUGCAUCUAGCCUGAAAGAAGCUGAGAUAUAAUACCAUCAAGGAGUGAUACACUAUGUUUGUGGAGAAUGAAGAAAUGUUGAAAUGGCUAUAGGGUUGGGUGGGAGAGAGGACUUUCAAGGAUGGAGUAAAGGAGGACUGCUACAUAUAUGGAUGGAACAACUGAUAUUUCAGAUCACUUAUUCAUUGAUGAAUAGUGCCACCAAUUUGUAGGGCUGCAAGAUUUUCUUUGCGAGUACUAGCAGUCCUGUAGACAUGGGAAAGAUGCUCCUCUGCUUUCACCAGAGGGUAGAAUUUCAUCAGAAGGUGAUAGAAAGGCAACAAAGUAAAAGAAUCAAUAAUGUUGUCAAAAGAGUGUCAAAAGUGAUUAACCAUGGAAUCUAAGCUGGAUAAGAAAAAGAGAAGAGGACACAAAAAGAUAUGUAGAAAGUUCAGUGAUCAUUGGUCUGGAAGGCUUGAUAAGGUCGAAGAACAGUAUUUAACUGAGGAAUAUGGUAAAAAGGAAUUUAUAGUAAGUAUGGAAUGAUGAAAUUUUCAUUUCAAAAACAUCAUAGAGAUGGUGUGUGUUUUUCACAUAUUAAUAG